rnacentral:rRNA from 1 species
GAUGAACGCUGGCGGCGUGCCUAAUACAUGCAAGUCGAGCGAACAGACGAGGAGCUUGCUCCUCUGACGUUAGCGGCGGACGGGUGAGUAACACGUGGAUAACCUACCUAUAAGACUGGGAUAACUUCGGGAAACCGGAGCUAAUACCGGAUAAUAUAUUGAACCGCAUGGUUCAAUAGUGAAAGACGGUUUUGCUGUCACUUAUAGAUGGAUCCGCGCCGCAUUAGCUAGUUGGUAAGGUAACGGCUUACCAAGGCAACGAUGCGUAGCCGACCUGAGAGGGUGGUCGGCCACACUGGAACUGAGACACGGUCCAGACUCCUAAGGGAGGCAGCAGUAGGGAAUCUUCCGCAAUGGGCGAAAGCCUGACGGAGCAACGCCGCGUGAGUGAUGGAGGUCUUCGGAUCGUAAAACUCUGUUAUUAGGGAAGAACAAAUGUGUAAGUAACUAUGCACGUCUUGACGGUACCUAAUCAGAAAGCCACGGCUAACUACGUG